rnacentral:rRNA from 1 species
UGAGGAAGAUAAUGACGGUACUCAACAAGGAAGUGACGGCUAACUACGUGCCAGCAGCCGCGGUAAAACGUAGGUCACAAGCGUUGUCCGGAAUUACUGGGUGUAAAGGGAGCGCAGGCGGGCGAUCAAGUUGGAAGUGAAAUCCAUGGGCUCAACCCAUGAACUGCUUUCAAAACUGAUUGUCUUGAGUAGUGCAGAGGUAGGCGGAAUUCCCGGUGUAGCGGUGGAAUGCGUAGAUAUCGGGAGGAACACCAGUGGCGAAGGCGGCCUACUGGGCACCAACUGACGCUGAGGCUCGAAAGUGUGGGUAGCAAACAGGAUUAGAUACCCUGGUAGUCCACACCGUAAACGAUGAUUACUAGGUGUUGGAGGAUUGACCCCUUCAGUGCCGCAGUUAACACAAUAAGUAAUCCACCUGGGGAGUACGACCGCAAGGUUGAAACUCAAAGGAAUUGACGGGGGCCCGCACAAGCAGUGGAGUAUGUGGUUUAAUUCGACGCAACGCGAAGAACCUUACCAAGUCUUGACAUCCUGCGACGAUGCUAGAAAUAGUAUUUUCCUUCGGGACGCAGAGACAGGUGGUGCAUGGUUGUCGUCAGCUCGUGUCGUGAGAUGUUGGGUUAAGUCCCGCAACGAGCGCAACCCUUAUGGUCAGUUACUACGCAAGAGGACUCUGGCCAGACUGC